AUUGAACGCUGGCGGCAUGCCUUACACAUGCAAGUCGAACGGCAGCAUGGAGAGCUUGCUCUCUGAUGGCGAGUGGCGAACGGGUGAGUAAUGCAUCGGAACGUACCGUGUAAUGGGGGAUAACGUAGCGAAAGUUACGCUAAUACCGCAUACGACCUGAGGGUGAAAGCAGGGGAUCGCAAGACCUUGCGUUAUACGAGCGGCCGAUGUCAGAUUAGCUAGUUGGUGAGGUAAAGGCUCACCAAGGCGACGCUCGGUAGCGGGUCUGAGAGGAUGAUCCUCCACACUGGGACUGAGACACGGCCCAGACUCCUACGGGAGGCAGCAGUGGGGAAUUUUGGACAAUGGGGGCAACCCUGAUCCAGCCAUGCCGCGUGAGUGAAGAAGGCCUUCGGGUUGUAAAGCUCUUUCGGCCGGGAAGAAAUCGCACAGGCUAAUACUCUGUGUGGAUGACGGUACCGGCAUAAGAAGCACCGGCUAACUACGUGCCAGCAGCCGCCGUAA
rnacentral:rRNA from 1 species